UUCAGCAGCAGGAGGAAGAAGAUGAAACAAAUGUCACGCAAGAUUCAAAUGAUUCUGUAAUUGAAGACAUCGUCACUACAUCACUGCUCAGUAUCGGUGACCAGGAGAAUAUAGAAAACAAGAGCGUGAUAGAAGAGACAAAGAGAAGUACUGGGAAGAUCCCAACACCGAUCAGAUCACGUCUGCCGAUGAGGAUGUCCAAUAAAAUAUAAGAUGUGUAAUAAACUGAUUCUUAGCCAGUGUAAAAAGCGUGACAUUUAGUACCAGCUAACUAUUCAUUUAGGGUUCGAAUCGGUGACUUUCAUUGAACGACUCUCAAAAAUCGAAAGAAAUUACAACAGCAAUCAUUUGGUAAGGUUUAUACUAUAAAAAAAAAAAAAAAAAACGCUGACAAAACAUUGGAGAAAAUAUGCAAUAUUGUUGCAGUGAACGUUUCACAAGGACAGCACAGUGACUUUCACAAAAUUCUUAAUUGUGAACACUGUUGAAUCAAUUUGCAUUGCCAAAAGUUUAACAGUAUAAUCUUUCCUUUGCCUACAGUGCUAGUUUUAAUCCACGUCAGUUGCAUGUCUUGGUGUAUGGCAACAUGCUUACUGUCUCAGUCUAAAAUCCAUCGUUUUUUUUUACUUCAAUAUUACGGUUAGGUCUGUAAAGAACUAUGAAUGUUUUACAUAAUUUUGCAUUUCAUUUAUUUUUUUGAACUCUUUACCAAGUAAAUUUUUGUAAUGAAUUUAAAUUUGCAUUUCAUUUAAUGUACUGUAAAAUCUGUAUUAGAAGCUGUGGCUUCUAUUAAAAUGGCACAAUGCAACAAAAGGGAUGCAGCUUCUAUUAGAGCAUCUACACAUGGAAAUGGUGAAUGUUUGCUUCUCAAUUGUUCAAAAAGAAUCUGUGAGACUUCUAUUAGAGAUGCGGCUUCUAAUACAGAUUUUAGGUACAUUAUUUAAUUACUGUACCCCAUAUUUAAAUUUUACGGUGACAACCUCCGAGAUUUUGUCAUUGGAUGUUGGUCUGAUUGUUGUAAAAUCAGAACAACUCAUUACCUACUUUGUUUCAAAAUGCUGUACCUGCGUACUUUUGUUUAUACUCCUGACAUAUUUACCUGUAGAAAUAAUUUAACUAUGUCUUGAGCUGUAGAAAUAUUGUAAAUAUGUCUAGGUUGUGGUCAUCGUGCCGCGUCCUGUUCUUACAUGAAAUUUGAACACGCACUGAGCAACAACUACCACCCAUAAAUCUAAAAGUUAAUGUUGCCAGUAAUCAACAAUAUCUUGAAACAAAGUAGGUAAUCAGUUGUUAUUUUUACAACAAUCAGAGCAAUUCUAAUUACAGAAAUCUUUGUUUUCAAUUUAAACUUGACCUUCUGUAAAGUUCAAUGACACAUUUUAUCGUUUAGAUACUUUAUUGACACGUAUAUUUAUUUUCAAUGAUGAAUAAUAAAUGUUUAAUGAUAGUACAGAUAAUAAAACUAUAAAUAUGCAUGUUUUUUUUAACAGUUGUUUUUUUCUCUAAAUAAUGUAAAUGUUGCUGUGUAUUGUCUCCAAUAUACUUAUUCAGAAUAAUAUUAAUUUUUAGAUUUUAUGUCUGUACCAGUUACCCACAAUGCCAAUGCCUUUUAAGAUAUUAAAUUUGUUUUAAAAU